UGAAUAUGCAUCAAACGACACUGCUCUGGCAACUGAAGGAAUCAAAGGAAGGUUCAGGAGCCGCUUAUCAUUGGAUAAUAGCCUCAGGCCCCACGUACCUUUUCCGGCAACUACUUCCGUCGCUUUAUGAGAACGUUCAGGAAGUGCUAUCUAACCAUGUUCAACUCUUCUCUGAUAUCUCCGCUCGCCGCAAUCGCAUAUCCAAUAAAAUGACUUAGGUGUAAAAGGAACAGCUAGAUUGACCAAUAAAGCAUCAUCUCCCUUUUUCA